GCAGAGGGCUUAUGACCAGGUAGUGCAUGACGUUGAUUUGCAAAAGCUGCCCGUGAGGUUUGCAAUGGACAGAGCAGGUCUUGUUGGAGCAGAUGGUCCAACACAUUGUGGUGCAUUUGAUGUUACUUACAUGGCAUGUCUUCCUAACAUGGUUGUAAUGGCUCCUUCUGAUGAAGCGGAGCUAUUUCACAUGGUAGCAACUGCUGCCGCCAUUGAUGACAGACCAAGUUGUUUUAGAUACCCAAGAGGAAAUGGGAUCGGUGUAGAGCUUCCGGCUGGAAACAAAGGAAUUCCUCUUGAGGUUGGUAAAGGUAGGAUAUUGAUUGAGGGGGAGAGAGUGGCUCUAUUGGGAUAUGGCUCAGCAGUGCAGAACUGUUUGGAUGCUGCUAUUGUGCUAGAAUCCCGCGGCUUACAAGUAACAGUUGCAGAUGCACGUUUCUGCAAACCACUGGACCAUGCCCUCAUAAGGAGCCUUGCAAAAUCACAUGAGGUGCUAAUCACUGUCGAAGAAGGAUCAAUUGGAGGUUUUGGAUCUCAUGUUGUUCAGUUCAUGGCCUUAGAUGGGCUUCUUGAUGGCAAGUUGAAGUGGAGACCAAUAGUUCUUCCUGAUCGAUACAUUGACCAUGGAUCUCCUGUUGAUCAGUUGGCGGAAGCUGGCCUAACACCAUCUCACAUUGCAGCAACAGUAUUUAACAUACUUGGACAAACCAGAGAGGCUCUAGAGGUCAUGACAUAAGAUGGAAGAAGCGUAGAAAGAUAUAUAGUAUAUUGUAAAAUAUAGUUUUAGGUCAUGACAUAAGCAGAUUAACAUAUACUUUAUCCUCCAAAAUAUGUUUAAAGUUUCCAUGGCUGAGUUCAAGCCCUCCUCUUAGUCUCCACCAUGACUUAUGAUUAACUCAUAUGGUUUCUGAUUGUGUAACCGGUUCUUGAUUUUUCGAGUUAUGAAGA
rnacentral:misc_RNA from 1 species